CAAGCUGAGCAGUGUGACCUUUAGCACAUAUAAGUCCAAUCCCAUAUCCGCAUCUGUAAAUGGACCGGUUUAUGGUGAAGUGUUUCUUGUUGGGAUUCAUAGUUUCACUUCAAAUGAAUGGACACUUUGGUUGCUUUCAAGAAGAGAGGUUGGCUCUCUUAGAUUUUAAAGCAUCUGUCCUGUCUAAUGAAGAUUAUAAUGCAGACCUGCUUCUGCCUUCAUGGACUACUACUGCUGUAGUUGGGAGCGACUCACGUGUGACUCCACCGGAGGUCACGUGAUCAUCCUUUGUCUUAAUGAAACAAGGCCGAAUUAUGAUGAUAUGAGUGGUUGGUACCUUAAUAUUUCUCUAUCCCACCAUUUUAAAGGAGCUUAGAAGCCUUAAGUUGUCAUAUAAUGCAAUUGCUGAAUUCAUCGACUAUGAAGAUAUUAUUAUAUUUUUUGGGUUUUUUUUUCUUUUUUGCAGUCACUUUAAUUUAUAGAUACUCUGUUGUUUAUAUCCAUAAUAAAUAAAUAACAAUGAAGCAGUAGAUACCCUUUUCUUAUUAUUUUUUGACGUUCUGAGAAUUUAAUUCUAAAUACAAUUUGAUGUCUCUAAGAAUUUUCAGAUUCCAAAAGUUUGUCUGAACUGAACAAGCUAGAGCAUUUAGACUUGAGCUGGAAGUAUCUUGACAAAGAAGUAUUUAAGGUGUUGAUGAAUUCUCAGCCCUCAAAUCUUUAUUCCUGCAAUCUAAUGUUAUCACAGGUUCACUAUCUAACCCAGAUCUUGCGGCACUGAGUAACUUGAAGGUACUUAAUCUGAAGUUCAAUCAGCUGAAUGGAACUCUGCCAAUUCAUUAUUUAGCCAGUUUCAGUAGCUUGGAGAUUUUAGACUUGAGCUGGAAUGAAUUCACUGGCAGCAUUUCGUCAAACAUAGAGCAUCUAUCAUCUCUCAAGGCUUUAACUCUGUCAAAUAAUUAUCUCAAUGGCUCUUGACCAACUCAAGGGUUAUGUCAACUGCAGAAACUUGAAGAGCUAGAUCUUAGUCAGAACUCAUUCCUAGGGACUAUUCCCCCAUGCUUAAGCAAUUUGACAUCUCUUAGACUGUUAGAUCUAUCUGCAAACAAAUUCUCAGGAAAAAUUUCUUCAUCUAUGGUAGCAGGCCUAACAUCACUCCAGUACAUUGAUCUCAGUCAUAAUCAAUUUGAAGGUGUAUUCUCCUUCAGCUCAUUCUCUAAUCAUUCCAGACUUGAGGUGGUUCAGAUUGUGAACGAUAAAGACAACUUUGAAGUUGAAACUGAAUAUUUAAGUUGGAAUUCGUUAUUUCAAUUAAAGGUCCUUCUACUACCUAACUGUAAUUUGAACAAGUUCUCCAAAAUUAUUCCUACGUUCCUCUUUCAGCGGCAUGAGUUGAGAGUUCUUAAUCUUGCUCACAACAAUUUGAAAGGAAGGAUAGACUGGUUGCUCGGCAAAAAUACUAGACUUGAAUUUCUUUCUUUGAGGAAUAAUUCAUUUGUAGGUCAGCUUCUUCUACCACCACUUCGCAGUGAAACAACCUGUGGAUUGAUAUAUCAGACAAUCAGUUGUACGGGAAAAUUCAACCGAACAUAGGGAAGAUAUUUCCCAAUGGAAUUUAUUUUAAUUUUUCCAAAAACGCUUUCAAAGGUAGCAUCCCGUCCUCAAUUGGCGACAUGCUUUACUUGGAGCAGCUGGACAUGUCUUUCAACUUCUCAGGAGAAAUACCUAUAGAAGUGGUUGCUAAUUUGGUCAGGUUGCAGACUCUGAAACUGUCAGGUAAUGGAUUUCAUGGUCGAAUAUUUUCAGUAAAUUUCAACCUGACAUGGUUAGAGUUUUUGUACCUGGACAACAAUCAGUUUACAGGAUCUCUGUCGAAUGUGAUCUUGAGAAGCUCACAACUUGGCGUAUUGGAUAUUAGCAACAAUAACAUUUCCGGUAGCAUUUCAAAGUGGAUAAGCAACAUGACUUAUUUGAGGACGUUUGCCAUGCGAAGCAAUAAACCUUCCGGAAGGUUUACUUCCCUGCGAGAUUCCAUUCAACUUCGACGUUUUAGACCUUUCUUACAACCAUUUGACAGGAUCAAUACCUUCUUGCUUGAAUGUGAAAACUUUAUGGGGGUUGUAUUUGCAAGGGAACAAGUUCACAGGUUCAAUAUCUCAACUCUUCGACGCUGGCUGUAUUAGACAUCAGUGAGAAUCGCUUAUCAAUAAAAAUCCCUGAUUCAAUAACUGCACUACCCAAUUUAAAUGUUCUUCUGUUGAAAGGAAAUAAACUGAGUGGUGCAAUUCCGAGUCAGUUAUGCAAACUGAACAAUAUAGCCCUGAUGGAUCUGUCCAACAACUUUUUCUCUGCUUCCAUAGCUCAAUGCUUCUACAACAUCACCUUUAACGAAGCAUUGAAUUACUAUCCAUUCAUUUCUUCAAAUUUUAGGAGAACAUUUAUGUCUAUGUAAGCUUCCUGCUUGGGCAGUACACAGUUUAUGAUCCAAAUGAUGCCUAUACAUAUGAAGAUGGCGUGAUCGGUUUUCUCACUGAAAGCAGGUCUCAUUCAUACAAUGGUGGCAUUCUUGAUUUUAGGUCCGGAUUGGAUCUGUCUUCCAACAAACUCAGUGGAGAAAUUACUUGCGAACUUGGAAAACUAAAUUGGAUAAACGCAGUAAACUUAUCUCGAAAUCACUUGACAGGCUCCAUCCCGGGAACUUUAUCAAACUCAAGUCAAAUUGAGAGCUUGGAUCUCUCUUACAACAGCUUGAGCGGAGCAAUCCCGCAAGAACUAACAAAUCUCCACUUCCUGAAGUUCUUCAGUGUGGCUUACAACAAUUUAUCAGGUAGCAUUCCAGAUAUCAAGCCACAAUUCACCAUACUUGCAAGGAAAUGAUUCAAAAUUUGCAGCAUUAUCUCAUUGGAUUACUCACUCUUCAUAAGCUCUGCUGUUCUUUAUUUUCGGUCAGUCAAACAUUAAUGGCUGACAUGAAUAAUCAGCUAUCAUGUGCUGCUGCAAAUGCAUGUGCUUUAAGUUACUUCCUGUACUGAUAUAUGCUAAUAAAAAUAAUUGCUUGCUUGCAA